AAAACUUUCAACUAACAUUGAUUAUCAGCUGUUUUGUACGGAAAACGUGGAAUUUAAAUAAUUUACUGUUUCACCGCUAUUGGCAAUACGUUUUAGUCAUGUCAUCUGCAACAGACGAUCAUACAUUUGUGACGGAUUAUCGAUAUAGAUAAAGCUAGGUACAUGUAGCAAUAGCGGUGGAAGCCCGUUGAGGGAAGGACAGAAUUCUGAAAAGGAGCAUGUUUUUCAUUUCCACACGUACAUGUGUAUCACUAUGGACAUCUAAUAUUUUUGUGGGAUUUUGUCCAGCAGUUUGCCUUAAAAGAAUUUUUUUAUAUUUAAGUUUCAUAUUUAUGUGGAUUCCAAUAAAAAUCAUACAAACUUC
rnacentral:sRNA from 1 species